UUUCAUUCUAUUUUUUUGUGUGGGAUCCUCCUAAGAACGCCCUAGGGAUUACUUUUAGAGUGAAAGAACUCAAGAGAGAUGGGAGAGAAAAGACUCCUUGCAAAGACUACUUUAAGUCUUCCUCUGCAUUCUUCACCAGCUCACAGAACCACCAAUGAAAAUGAAGUUGCAUGGAAAUUGGGGCAGCGGCUCGCCUUCAAGAUGUCAUCUGGUGAUGGUGAUAGAUCCCGGGAUCAUCUUGGUGUUAGCCAUUUUGGUAAAAGUAAAAAGAAGUUUAGGAGACAUGUUGAUCCUGAGGAUACCCUAGGACAUAUUUCUUCAGCGCCGGAGAUGCAGCACCACCGAGCUAGUCCUACACAUAUUCAUGUUGUGCCUUUUGGGACUAUGGAUCAUUUAGUUUACCAUAGUUAGUUCUGCCGACCACACGACACUUCUUCUUCUUCACAGGUCAGAUAUACUUCAUAUGAUCAGACCUACCAGCUACCCACAGAGGUUAUUGCUCGACCCCCGAGAGUAUCAUUUUCUUCUACAACAUCUCCCACAAUUCCAUCUCCCAGAUCUCAGUCUCCUCACAUAUCUACUCUGAGACUUAGAGAUUCUAGUGUUGAGACUGACACUCCUACAGUAUCAGCUUCACCUUUUUCUGUUGCUAGACCAGAGGCAGUACAUGAUGUGCCUGGGUUAGCUCCUGGACAGAGGGACAAACUUGGGAGAGUCAUGAUUGAGCCUGAUGGAUCCUCGUGACAUCCUUCGAAGGAGGCUGCUAGGGCUCUUUAGGAGAGUGUUCUGAGGCUAUAUAUUGAGCCCUAUCACUCUUGGUAGGAGAUUCCAAACAGUAUCUGCCAGGCGAUGUUUAAUGAAUUCAAAACUUUAUGUACUUGGGAGCCAAGGUACAAUAUGGUCAUUGCGACCAUUUUUUAAAGAAAAGCGAGCGCCAGACUGUCUAGCUGGCUAAAGAAAUUUAGGGAUGAUCGGCACCUUCGAAUUGGCUGCUGCCUCAUAUAUUUGAAGAAUUAUGUCGGUAUUGGGAUACCGAAGAAUUCAAAGCUUUGUCCGAUCAAGGUAAAAAAGCAAGAGCUAGCCUAAAGGGUGGUUCGUUCCACACCGGAGGUGCAAAGAGUGAUGGUACGAUUCAAAG